CUGCAGGUUAGUUUCAGCAUGGUUGAUCAGUGCCAUGUUGUCGUUCCCCCUGCAGAAAUUAAAAUUGUUUCAUUACUAUCCCUGUAUGCUUUGACCCAACAGCAGAUGGGGACGCUUAGUCACAGACAA